AAUUUUACAAUUAUAAUAAUAAAUGCAUUAGAUGGAUGCCUAGAAUUUAAAAAUUUUACGUAAACAAAUUUACGAUAUCUAUUUAGUAAAUAAUAUAUUGAUAUAUUUAUUUAUUUGAAAUUAAUAGAUUAAAAUUAUUAAUAACAAAGUGAAACAUCAUAGUAGUUAUUUUAAUAAACUCAAUUGAGAUUAGUAUAGUGGUGAGCAAAUACUAUUAGUUUUAAAUUAAUUAAAAAUUAAAUAUUUUGGAAUAAAUAAUCAAAGAAGGUGAUAAUCCUGUAAAUUU
rnacentral:rRNA from 1 species